GUCUUUGGUCAUACUAUCUUGAAUGUUCCUGGUAUAUGUGUUAUGAUCUCAGAAGCUAAUAAUGGUUGUCAAGGGUCAGUACUUGGAUGGAAAGCCAUUUGGGAAUAUCAGGUACCACAGCUU
rnacentral:rRNA from 1 species